AAAUGCAGGUUCCCAGGCUCCCACCCCAACAACCUGGUUUAUUAGCUGGAGGUGGAGCCCAGGAAUCUGCAUGUUAUGCACUUUCCUUAGGUGAUUC
rnacentral:miRNA from 1 species